GACGAACGCUGGCGGCGUGCUUAACACAUGCAAGUCGAGCGGUAAGGCCCUUUCGGGGGUACACGAGCGGCGAACGGGUGAGUAACACGUGGGUGACCUGCCCUCAGCUCUGGGAUAAGCCUGGGAAACCGGGUCUAAUACUGGAUAUGACUCCAUGACGCAUGUUGUGGGGUGAAAGCCUUGUGCGGCUGAGGAUGGGCCCGCGGCCUAUCAG
rnacentral:rRNA from 1 species